GCGCUAAUGGAUGAGCCUACGUCGGAUUAGCUAGUUGGUAGGGUAAAAGCCUACCAAGGCGACGAUCCGUAGCUGGUCUGAGAGGACGAUCAGCCACACUGGGACUGAGACACGGCCCAG
rnacentral:rRNA from 1 species